rnacentral:misc_RNA from 1 species
AAAAAAAAAAAAAAAAAAACCUUGGACCUCAUAAUCGCUAAGGAGCAACCUUAGCACUGCAAAGGCUCACCUCACCCUCUAAAUAUGCACAUGUGAAAUUCAAAAGAAAAAAAUGUAUACAGGUGCAAACAGAGAAAUGUAGUAUAAAAGAGAUUUGUAUGAUCACUGACAAAAAGUAUAAAUUUUCUUAAAAGAGCUUCCAUUUACCAGUAUAAAAGACAUGUCUCUCAUUAAGAAAUGUUGACCUCAAUCGCUGCCAAUAAUCCAAUGUAAUCUCUCUAAAAUUCUCAAAUAUUUUCCUUCCAUGACAGGUUGCAAUACUCUCUGGAUGAAACUGUAUACCAUAAUGAGGCCUGGUAGAAUGCAUAAUGCCCAUGAGAUUUUUUCCCCUUCGCACUUCUGUGGAGUGGCUAAAAGACCAAGAAGUUCCAUUAUUUAAUUUUGGUGAAUAAGUAUCAAAACAAAUGGUUGGCCUAACCUGACUCUCACAAGCAUCAGGAAUAAAAUCAGAAUUCUGAGACUCAAGGAAAGAAUGUGUGCCAGUAGAAGAUGUCCAUGCAAUUGGUACAAGUUCCUUCGGGAGUGAUCGUGCAUCUAUAAUAAGAGAAUGAUAUCGGACAACCUUAAAUCCAGAUUUUUUGCCAGAAGGGAUGUUAUUGAAGAGUCUGCACCCAUCAUGCUCAAUUUCACUCAUGCGUCCAUGGACUGUUUCAGGUGCAUGGACAAUCUGAGCACCAUGCACAUAACCCAAAGCCUGUCACAUUAAAAGUCACAUUCAAUUUAGUAAUACAAAGCGAUUGCAGUAAAAGUCAAAAGAUUUAUCCAUUGGCAGGAAAAGUUACACUAAAUGCAAAUGGGAAGAAACUAAUGCGUCAAUCAAAGAAAGGAAAAAAGGAUAAAAGAAUCUAUUUAACUUGACUAAAACAUAUUUUUAACAGAAAUAUAAACACAAGCAAUUAUUCAGGAAAACGAAGUGCAAGCAGCAUGAAAAGAACAUAAGUAGAAAUACCAGGUGUCCAAGACAAACUCCCAAAAUGGGAAUAUCCCUGCACUCAAGCAGCAACCGAAGGCAUAUUCAGUAAAUAAUCACAAUUCUAGUUGCAAUAUCAUCAUCAGUAGAGAGUAAAACUCCACAAAUUAAUACGUGCAAGGGUGGACACCUUCUGAAAACUCGGCAAUAAUUUUCUGCACUGCAUUUUCAGGUCUUGCGAGAUCUUAAUAAUAAAAUUCAGAGCAUUAAACCAUCUAACAAUAAUAAAAGGUGUCAUUCACAACUUUAAUUGCAUUGACAAGAAUGUAUCACAGGCCAUAAUAUAGCCCAUUCUAUCAUGUCCAAAAGCGCAAUAUGUCUGCAUUGGAUACUAGGCCUUAACAAUGAAUUUUACCAUUGGCAAAGUGUGAAUGUUUGAACUGCUACCCUCUGCAAAUGUGAUUAAAAGAAAAGGGGUGGAACUGAAUUCUCAAUCUUACAUAUAUUCGCUGCACAUGUUGGAGAACCAGGGCCAGGUGAUAUAACAAUAUUAUCAAAAGCUUUUUCUUCAUAUAAGUAGUGGCACACUUCCUCCCAUGUCCACUCAUCAUUCUUCACCACCAUAGGUGGAACCCCAUUAACAACAGACAGCUCUUGGUAAAUGUUGUAGGUGUAACUAUCAUAGUUAUCAAUCAGCAAAGUCCUCACGAAUUCCAGCUUCCGACUAUGAUCCUGCAGCCGUUUAUUCCCCAUGAAAGACCCUUCAGUGUGUCCAGGCAUUAACUGGCUAGAAAUGACCAUUCUUUUAAAAUUACAAAAAUAUUCUUGAGCAUUCUCAUUCUUAGCAAGAAAACCAAAUCCCAGAAAAGGUUUGGCAAAUCGCAAAUUGGCAGUAUUACACCAGAGACCCUCGAAGCAAAGAUUUGAAAGAUCCAAAGAAGACGAACUUAUAGCAAAUUCCAUCUGCAAACCUUUAUUCAAUCCAACAGUUUCUCCAAAUGAAAAAGGCUCGGAAUAUAAAUCAGAGAUCCAAGAAAUCCAAACGUUAAAGAACUUUUUUCAACUUGUGAGCAAAGAAUGAGCAGACAGAUAAUGGAAAACGUAAAUUCGAGAUUUAGACAUAAGGUGGAAGGUAAGAAAGAGACCUUAGAAGAGGUGGUGGGUAGUGGUGGAGCCGAGGAGGAGGAGAUCGAGUGAAGAGGGUAAAGAGAGAGAGAAGUGAAGGCGGUGGUGGUGCAGGUAGGUGUUUGGUGGUGAGGUGGGGCCGAGGUCUCAAGAUUAGAUUCUGUUUUGAAGCGUCAAAAAGUGAAGUGGAGGUUGAAGGAGGAUUCCACUGCUGAUUGGUGGGGAUUCCAUGGCCGCCUGCCUAUCCACCUACCUAGCUUUUGUUUUUUUUAUGGCCAAACUCGAACUCUCAUCCUAACUAGAGGAAUGCUAAUGGCGG